AAGGAAGAGUUAAUACCGCAUAAGAUUGUAGUAUCGCAUGAUAUAGCAAUUAAAGGAGCAAUUCGCUAUAAGAUGGACCCGCGUCGCAUUAGCUAGUUGGUGAGGUAAUGGCUCACCAAGGCGACGAUGCGUAGCCGACCUGAGAGGGUGAUCGGCCACAUUGGGACUGAGACACGGCCCAGACUCCUACGGGAGGCAGCAUG
rnacentral:rRNA from 1 species